UCCCUGGUGGCUCAGAGGUUAAAGCGUCUGCCUGCAAUGCAUGAGACCCUGGUUCAAUCCCUGGCUAGGGAA